AGUGAACGUUGGCGGCGUGGAUUAGGCAUGCAAGUCGAGCGAGAACCCCGCAAGGGGGGACAGCGGCGCAAGGGACAGUAAUGUGUAGAUCAUCUGCCCUCAGGUCCGGGAUAGCUGCGGGAAACUGCAGGUAAUACCGGAUAACAUCUCCGGAUCAAAGGUGUGAUUCCGCCUGAGGAUGAGUCUGCAUCCUAUUAGCUAGUUGGCAGGGUAGCGGCCUACCAAGGCAUUGAUGGGUAGCGGGUGUGAGAGCACGACCCGCGUCAUUGGGACUGAGACACUGCCCAGACACCUACGGGUGGCUGCAGUCGAGAAUCUUCGGCAAUGGGCGCAAGCCUGACCGAGCGACGCCGCGUGUGGGAUGAAGGCCUUCGGGUUGUAAACCACUGUCAGAGGGGAUGAAAUGCAGGUGGGUUCUCCCAUCUGUUUGACAUAGCCUCAGAGGAAGGACGGGCUAAGUUCGUGCCAGCAGCCGCCGUAA
rnacentral:rRNA from 1 species